ensembl:miRNA
UGAGGCAGGAGAAUUGCUUGAACCCGGGUGGUGGAGGUUGCAGUGAGCCAAGAUUGCGCCACUGCACUCCAGCCUGGGCGACAAAGCAAGACUCUUUCUUGGA